rnacentral:rRNA from 1 species
GAUGAACGCUGGCGGCGUGCCUAAUACAUGCAAGUCGAGCGAACAGACGAGGAGCUUGCUCCUCUGACGUUAGCGGCGGACGGGUGAGUAACACGUGGAUAACCUACCUAUAAGACUGGGAUAACUUCGGGAAACCGGAGCUAAUACCGGAUAAUAUAUUGAACCGCAUGGUUCAAUAGUGAAAGACGGUUUUGCUGUCACUUAUAGAUGGAUCCGCGCCGCAUUAGCUAGUUGGUAAGGUAACGGCUUACCAAGGCGACGAUGCGUAGCCGACCUGAGAGGGUGAUCGGCCACACGAGAACUGAGACACGGUCCAGACUCCUACGGGAGGCAGCAGUAGGGAAUCUUCCGCAGUGGGCGAAAGCCUGACGGAGCAACGCCGCGUGAGUGAUGAAGGUCUUCGGAUCGUAAAACUCUGUUAUUAGGGAAGAACAAAUGUGUAAGUAACUAUGCACGUCUUGACGGUACCUAAUCAGAAAGCCACGGCUAACUACGUG